rnacentral:rRNA from 1 species
AUUGAACGCUGGCGGAAUGCUUUACACAUGCAAGUCGAACGGCAGCACGGACUUCGGUCUGGUGGCGAGUGGCGAACGGGUGAGUAAUACAUCGGAACGUACCCAGUAGUGGGGGAUAACGCACCGAAAGGUGCGCUAAUACCGCAUACGACCUAAGGGUGAAAGCGGGGGACCGUAAGGCCUCGCGCUAUUGGAGCGGCCGAUGUCUGAUUAGCUAGUUGGCGGGGUAAUAGCCCACCAAGGCGACGAUCAGUAGCUGGUCUGAGAGGACGAUCAGCCACACUGGGACUGAGACACGGCCCAGACUCCUACGGGAGGCAGCAGUGGGGAAUUUUGGACAAUGGGGGCAACCCUGAUCCAGCAAUGCCGCGUGUGCGAAGAAGGCCUUCGGGUUGUAAAGCACUUUUGUCAGGGAAGAAAUUUUUCAGGCUAAUACCCUUGGAAGGAUGACGGUACCUGAAGAAUAAGCACCGGCUAACUACGUGCCAGCAGCCGCCGUAA